rnacentral:rRNA from 1 species
UAGGGAAUCUUCCGCAAUGGGCGAAAGCGUGACGGAGCAACGCCGCGUGAGUGAUGAAGGUCUUCGGAUCGUAAAACUCUGUUAUUAGGGAAGAACAAAUGUGUAAGUAACUAUGCACGUCUUGACGGUACCUAAUCAGAAAGCCACGGCUAACUACGUGCGAGCAGCCGCGGUAAUACGUAGGUGGCAAGCGUUAUCCGGAAUUAUUGGGCGUAAAGCGCGCGUAGGCGGUUUUUUAAGUCUGAUGUGAAAGCCCACGGCUCAACCGUGGAGGGUCAUUGGAAACUGGAAAACUUGAGUGCAGAAGAGGAAAGUGGAAUUCCAUGUGUAGCGGUGAAAUGCGCAGAGAUAUGGAGGAACACCAGUGGCGAAGGCGACUUUCUGGUCUGUAACUGACGCUGAUGUGCGAAAGCGUGGGGAUCAAACAGG